rnacentral:rRNA from 1 species
AACGAACGCUGGCGGCAUGCCUAACACAUGCAAGUCGAACGAAGCCUUCGGGCUUAGUGGCGCACGGGUGCGUAACACGUGGGAAUCUGCCCUUCGGUUCGGAAUAACAGUUAGAAAUGACUGCUAAUACCGGAUGAUGACGUAAGUCCAAAGAUUUAUCGCCGAAGGAUGAGCCCGCGUAAGGGUUAGGUAGUUGGUAGGGUAAUGGCCUACCAAGCCGACGAUCCUUAGCUGGUCUGAGAGGAUGAUCAGCCACACUGGGACUGAGACACGGCCCAGACUCCUACGGGAGGCAGCAGUGGGGAAUAUUGGACAAUGGGCGAAAGCCUGAUCCAGCAAUGCCGCGUGAGUGAUGAAGGCCUUAGGGUUAUAAAGCUCUUUUACCAGGGACGAUAAUGACAGUACCUGGAGAAUAAGCUCCGGCUAACUCCGUGCCAGCAGCCGCGGUAAU